rnacentral:rRNA from 1 species
AGAAUCAACGCUGGCGGCGUGCCUAACACAUGCAAGUCGAACGAGAAAGUGGAGCAAUCCAUGAGUAAAGUGGCGCACGGGUGAGUAACACGUGACUAACCUACCCUUGAGUGGGGGAUAACCUAGAGAAAUCUGGGCUAAUACCGCAUAAUACCUUCGGGUCAAAGGAGCAAUUCGCUUAAGGAGGGGGUCGCGGCCGAUUAGUUAGUUGGCGGGGUAAUGGCCCACCAAGACUAUGAUCGGUAUCCGGCCUGAGAGGGCGCACGGACACACUGGAACUGAAACACGGUCCAGACUCCUACGGGAGGCAGCAGUGGGGAAUUUUGCGCAAUGGGGGAAACCCUGGCGCAGCAACGCCGCGUGGAGGAUGAAGUCCCUUGGGACGUAAACUCCUUUCGAUCGGGACGAUAAUGACGGUACCGAGAGAAGAAGCCCGGCUAGCUUCGUGCCAGCAGCCGC